GAUGAACGCUGGCGGCGUGCCUAAUACAUGCAAGUCGAGCGAACAGAUGAGGAGCUUGCUCCUCUGACGUUAGCGGCGGACGGGUGAGUAACACGUGGAUAACCUACCUAUAAGACUGGGAUAACUUCGGGAAACCGGAGCUAAUACCGGAUAAUAUAUUGAACCGCAUGGUUCAAUAGUGAAAGACGGUUUUGCUGUCACUUAUAGAUGGAUCCGCGCCGCAUUAGCUAGUUGGUAAGGUAACGGCUUACCAAGGCAACGAUGCGUAGCCGACCUGAGAGGGUGAUCGGCCAAACUGGAACUGAGACACGGUCCAAACUCCUACGGGAGGCAGCAGUAGGGAAUCUUCCGCAAUGGGGGAAAGGCUGAAGGAGCAACGCCGGGUGGGUUAAGAAGGUCUUCGGAUCGGAAAACUCUGUUAUUAGGGAAGAACAAAUUUGUAAGUAACUAUGCACGUCUUGACGGUACCUAAUCAGAAAGCCACGGCUAACUACGUG
rnacentral:rRNA from 1 species